UACAGAGGGUGCAAGCGUUGUUCGGAAUUACUGGGCGUAAAGCGCGUGUAGGCUGCAAUAUAAGUCGGAUGUGAAAGCCCUCGGCUCAACCGAGGAAGUGCAUCCGAUACUGUAUCGCUAGAGUGUCGGAGGGGAUGGCGGAAUUCCCGGUGUAGAGGUGAAAUUCGUAGAUAUCGGGAGGAACACCUGUGGCGAAGGCGGCCAUCUGGACGACAACUGACGCUGAGACGCGAAAGCGUGGGUAGCAAACAGGAUUAGAUACCCUGGUAGUCCACGCUGUAAACGAUGAGUGCUAGACGUCACGGGUAUUGACCCCUGUGGUGUCGAAGUUAACACGUUAAGCACUCCGCCUGGGGAGUACGGUCGCAAGAUUA
rnacentral:rRNA from 1 species